rnacentral:tRNA from 1 species
UCCCUGGUGGCUUAGACGGUAAAGCGUCUGCCUGCAAUGCCGGAGACCCGGGUUUGAUCCCUGGGUUGGGAA